rnacentral:misc_RNA from 1 species
AACGCACAUUGCGCCCCUUGGUAUUCCAUGGGGCAUGCCUGUUCGAGCGUCAUUUGUACCCUCAAGCUUUGCUUGGUGUUGGGUGUUUGUCCCGCGCUCUUUUGCGCGAGACUCGCCUUAAAUCAAUUGGCAGCCGGCAUGUUAGCCUGGAGCGCAGCACAUUUUGCGCCCCUUGCUUGCUUGUGUUGGCCCCCAUCAAGUCCAUAUAUUUGCUCUUGACCUCGGAUCAGGUAGGGAUACCCGCUGAACUUAA